GCCGGACGACGGGGUCUUUUUAUCGCGGUGAAGUUCGGGCGGUAUUGCAGGUUCCGUCCGUGCGUUGCGAUGCGAUUUUUUGUGUGUCGCGGUGUGGUGCUGAUGCAUCCGACUGGAGUGCUGGUGGCGAUGUCGUCGUUUCACUCUCUGUCCUGACUUUUUGAGACUCCGGGACCAGCAAGAUACGAAGAUUGCACUGGUUAAGGUUGCAGAGCUGUGGAACACUUGCAGCAGCUACACCUGUGAUGGAACGUCAAUCAUCUGCUGCAUACCCGUCUGGAACAUUCAUCGUCUGCUGCACACCCGUCUGGAACACUCAUCAUCUGCUCUGCACCCGUCUGGAACGUUCAUCAUCCGCCGCACAUCCGUCUGGAACGCUUAGCAUCUGCGCACUCGGUCUGCGGCAGUCCAGUCCGUAGCAUGUUGUCCUCUCUUAUCUAUGGCACUACUAUGAGUUGAAAAGACACUCGGUGUCUUCGAAACGUCUGUAGGAAAAAUUGCAUGCGUGGAACAUGCAAUGCCUGCCGAGCAACUGUCUAGAACAUUCAAUGCUCGUAAGAUGUCCGCCUGUAUUAUCCAGUCGCUCAGUCAUAUAUGGCCGCGCAUUUUUGGCAGCUCGCAGGCAGAACAUGCGCAUAUGCUGCAGUAGCUGUGACUGCAUGCGCUUUAUUUUUGCGCCAGACAUAAAGCACUGGGAAAGAGGUAACCGGUUGUUCGAUGCGAUUAUUCAGGCCCACGACCCUGUUUUCCUCGGGUCGAUUUGUCAUCCUCCCGACACAGAGAAUGACGAUUCAAGUAUGGUGUUUGUUUGAUGAAUGGGCGCUUUGCAUACGACAUAUGGCUUCGUGUUGGUGCUACAUCAAUUCCCCAGUUAUAAAUGUCAUCUUUCAA